rnacentral:rRNA from 1 species
GACAGAGGGGGCAAGCGUUGCUCGGAAUCACUGGGCGUAAAGGGCGCGUAGGCGGGAUGGCAAGUCGGUCGUGAAAUCCUUCGGCUCAACCGAAGAACGUCGGCCGAUACUGCCGUUCUUGAGGGAUGCAGAGGAGAUUGGAAUUCCCGGUGUAGCGGUGAAAUGUGUAGAGAUCGGGAGGAACACCGGUGGCGAAGGCGGCAUCCUGGACCAAAACUGACGCUGAAUAGCGAAAGCCAGGGGAGCAAACGGG